rnacentral:rRNA from 1 species
GAUGAACGCUGGCGGCGUGCCUAAUACAUGCAAGUCGAGCGAACGGACGAGAAGCUUGCGUCUCUGAUGUUAGCGGCGGACGGGUGAGUAACACGUGGAUAACCUACCUAUAAGACUGGGAUAACUUCGGGAAACCGGAGCUAAUACCGGAGAAUAUUUUGAACCGCAUGGUUCAAAAGUGAAAGACGGUCUUGCUGUCACUUAUAGAUGGAUCCGCGCUGCAUUAGCUAGUUGGUAAGGUAACGGCUUACCAAGGCAACGAUGCAUAGCCGACCUGAGAGGGUGAUCGGCCACACUGGAACUGAGACACGGUCCAGACUCCUACGGGACGCAGCAGUAGGGAAUCUUCCGCAAUGGGCGAAAGCCUGACGGAGCAACGCCGCGUGAGUGAUGAAGGUCUUCGGAUCGUAAAACUCUGUUAUUAGGGAAGAACAUCUGUGUAAGUAACUGUGCCCAUCUUGACGGUACCUAAUCAGAAAGCCACGGCUAACUACGUG